UAGCCUGCUAGGCAGAGGUAUGGCUCCCGUUCGCGUUGCCUUCCUUUCUUCGAUCCUGCUUCUGCUCUUCUGCGUCGCUGCUGCUGGAUCAACCUUUGACGACUCUAAUCCUAUCAGACUUGUGUCAGAUCGUCUUCGUGACUUCGAAGCUUCUGUCGUCAAAGUUAUCGGUCACACCCGCCGCGCUCUUUCCUUCGCCCGUUUUGCUCACAGGUAUGGGAAGAGUUAUGAGACUGAGGAGGAGAUGAAGCUGAGGUUCGCCAUUUUCUCGGAGAAUUUGGAUUUGAUCAGAUCCAUCAACAAAAAGGGCCUGCCUUACGCUCUUGCCAUUAACGAUUUCGCUGAUUGGACCUGGCAAGAGUUCCAAAAGCACAGAUUGGGAGCUGCACAGAACUGCUCUGCCACCACAAAGGGCAA
rnacentral:misc_RNA from 1 species